UUUCCCUCAGGAUAGCUGGAGUUCGAUUGCGAGUUCUAUCAGGUAAAGCCAAUGAUUAGAGGCAUCGAGGGCGCAACGCCCUCAACCCAUUCUUAAAACUUUAAUUAGGUAGGACGGUGGGGCUGCUUUGUUGAGCCGCACCAUGGAAUCGGGACCUCCAAGUGGACCAUUUUUUGUAUGCAAAACUGGCGAUGCGGGAUGAACCG
rnacentral:ncRNA from 1 species